rnacentral:lncRNA from 1 species
AAGUGCUGGGAUUACAGGUAUGAGGCACUGUACCCAGUCUCUGUGGUGGUUUCAAAAUAUGUUCACAAAUUGUUUGAUACUCCUCCUGUCAAAUGAUAGAGCCUGAUUCCCCUCUCCUUGGUGUCGGCUAGAUUUAGUGACUUGCUUCUAACAAAUAGAAUAAAAUGGAAUUGACAGUAUGUGCUAUAGCUGAAUGUGUGCCCCCAAAAUUCAAAUAUGAAAACUUAAUCACCAGUGUGAUAGCAUUAAGAAGUGGGGGCUUUAGGAGGUGACGAAGUCUCUCAGGAAUGGGAUUAAUGCCCUUAUAAAACAGCCUUCACCCUGCAUUUCCCCCUUUUCCCUCUUCCACCCGUCUAGCAUGUAAGGACACAUAGCAACAAGGUGCUAUAUCUGAAGCAGGGAGAGCCAGCCCUCACCAGACAUGAAAUCUGCCAGCACCUGGAUCUUGGAAUCCCCAGCCUCCAGAACUGUGAGAAGUAAAUUUCUAUUAUUUAUAAAUCACCCAGUCUAAGAUAUGUGACUUGUGACUUCUGACACCAGAUCAUCAAAGGCACUGCUGUGUCCUCCUUGUUACCUCUUUCUGAGAUCACUUGCUUUGGGGCAAGCCAGAUGCUAUUGUCGUGAGGACAUUCAAGGAGCCUGUGGAGACGUCCAUGUGGUAAGAAAUGGAAACCUCCUGCCACCAGUAAGGAUCUGAGGCCUUCUGCAAACAGCCUGUGAGUGAGCCAUUGUGGAAGCGGCUAGAUGUGGUCUCAGUCAAGCUUUCAAAUGCCUGCAGCCCCUGCCAACAUCCUGAAUGCUCCCCGUAGGAAACUCUGCUCCUAAAUUCCUGACCCACAGAAAUUGUGAGAUAAUGAAUGAUUGCUGUUUUAAGUCACUAACGUUUGGGGGUAUUUUUGAAAUGUAGCAAUAAAUAAACAAUACAUUUACCUAUAAGCAAUUCCCACUCAAGAUAGGCAACUCGAUUUUUGAAAAAUGAUGGAAUUAUAUAAUACAAGCAUACAAUUUUAGAACUAGACAGAACUUCAAAAUAAAGUUUUACUCAUAUUUUGCAGAAACAGAAAGUAAGACCUCCAGAAUCUGUCUUGCUCGAAUCUGGUCAUCUAUCAUUGUUCUCUAUCAUCUCAGCUAGAGAUACAGGACUCAUCCUUAACACUCACUGCCUCUUUCACGAAUCCUAUACCCAACUUAUUACUUGGUGCUAUUAUUAAUUACUUAAUGCUAUUAAUCCUUUUGCCUCUGCCUACCUCUUUUUUUUUUUAAUCCACCAAGCCACACACUGUUAUCUUUUCUGGACUCCAGCAAUAACCUCCUAGCUGGUCUCAUGUCGACUUGUGCCCCUACAAGUAGUUCUCAAGACUGCAUACAGAGUUAAUGUAUUGAAAUACAAUUGCAGUGAUCUUACCUCUUCUCCAGUCUCCCUCACUCUCCAGACCCAUUUGUUGACUUCUGAUCACUGGUCAUUGGUUUGCCCUUGUCCUGAGCUCAAGUCAUUCUGGCCUUCUAUAAUUCCUAGAAUAUGAUGAUUCUGCAUCCAAGCCACUAGGACUUUGCAUGUGCAGUUCCUGCAGCCCCAUUCACCUAGUUGACACCUAAUUAUCCUGCAGAUCUAAAUCACAGUUCAAGUCUAUACUAACUUCCCUGCUACAAUCUCCAGGUUAGCUUUUCUUUGUAGCACUAAAUCACAGUUACAUUGUUAAUGGUUGGAUUUUCAAAAAUUGAUAUCUGUCUUCUUUAAUAGAAUACAAGUCUUUAAAUGCAAGGACAAUGUACUUUUUAUUUGUGUGCUUUAGCACUUAGCACAGUGCCCAGGGCAUUAUAAAAUGUCUGAUAACUAUUUGUUAAGUGGCUGGAUGAAUGAAUAAAUGCAUGAAAUCAUCCAAGAAGUUAAUGAGGGACUAAAAUCUAGGUUUUCUGACUCCACAUUUAAUGUUACUUACAACCCACCUGCUGUUCUCAAUUUGAUGUACUCAACUCUGAGUAUCAACAUAAUGCAUUUAUCAAGUGCAAAGAAAAUCACUGAUAUUCCUCAAAUAUCGUAUUUGGCAAUACUAGUGGAAUACGAUAUCUAGAUAAGGUUACUGUAUUGAAAUGACAAGGUUGUACUGUGGACCUGUUUACUUUGUGACUUUGCCACUUAUUUCCUAAAAUAUCACCAUUACUUAAAACAAUUCAAGAGCAGCCUACUCUUCCAAAAUAAAUUGCUUUAUACAAGUUGAGAUUCAAUAAGUUAGUAACUGAAUGAGCUGAGUGAGGUGGUGUGCACUUGUAGUCCCAGUUACUCAGGAGGCUGAGGUGCAAAGAUCACGUGAGCUUAUGAGUUUGAGUCCAGCCUGAAUAUAGCAAGACCUGUCUAAAACAACAACAACAACAACAACAACCACCCAAAAAAACAAAAACAAACAAAAAAACCAGUAACAAUAUAUGAAUGCCUUUUAAUAUAAUAAGUUAAUAUAUAAAUGUAAUGAUUACAGUUAAAUUUGGAGGGACUGUCUGAGUCACAGUUGGCUGUUACUUGUAAGUAUUCAGGAGCUAUGGUGAAAAAGGGUGGCAAGCUCUAGGCUUUUUGUAAAUCUACUUGGGUCCUUGACCUAGUCCAACUGUUAGUCUCUGGAAUGCUUUUCAAGCCACUGGGCUAUGCCUCUGUUCCCUGUCUCAAGAAGCUUUCUCUGGCCUGUGUAAUGAUCUGAUUCCAAAAGAGUGAACAAGAUGGCACUGAAGCAUUGAGAUAGUAGCCAUCCAAUGCUCUGCACCCCUUUGGCAGCUUACUGUCAGUUGUACUGUAGACCUGAUGGCUUCCAGGACACACAUGCAGGUGUUAUAGUAAGUUAUUCAGGGGAAACAGAAGAGUGACAUUCUCAACUAGUGAAGGGCCUUUUGGUCCAAAGAUAUGGUAUAAGCCAGGCACAGUGGCUCACACCUGUAAUCCCAGCACUUUGAGAGGCCAAGGUGUGUGGAUCACCUGAGGCCAGGAGUUCAAGACCAGCCUGGCUAAUAUGGUGAAACCCCAUCUCUACUAAAAUACAAAGUUAACUGGGCAUGGCGCUGGGCGCCUGUAAUCCCAGCUACUUGGGAGGCUGGGGCAGGAGAAUGGCUUGAACCUGGGAGGCGGAGGUUGCAGUGAGCCGAGAUCGUGCCAUUGCACUCCAGCCUGGGUGACAAGAGCAAAACUCCAUCUCAAAAACAAAACAAAACAACAAAAAAGAUAUGGUGUAAACUACUUUGGAACUCAAAAGGUGUUUUUCCCCCACUAUGGAAAUGAAUUUGAAGGGUGGUUCAGUUCUGAGGCUGGCCUAGAUAUAGCUGACCAAUAUACUCUGCAACAAGGAAGGCCUGUCUGUUCAGAUCCUUCUUGGCAUUCCUGUGGAGCAACCCUUCUUCCUGGAUACAGGACAGUCAAGGCAGGUCAGAUAAUGUCUUUAUGGCCAGCUCUUAUACAGAAAGUAAUGGGGAGCUUAGAGGAAUUUUUCCAGGUUUUAUGACUGGCUUUGGUAGAGAGGGGUUCUAGUUUCUCUGACCAGACUCAGGAAAAGGGAAUUUAAUUUCUAUGGCUUAUCUCGCUGGAGGAAGAGCAUGGGAGACAGGAAGGCAAGGGAAGGUCAGAGAGAGACUUUGCUUCUAAAGCUGCUUCUGAGGCCUUCCAAAUUAUGUUAUUUCAAAGUGUUCAGCAUGCCAAAGCACCAUAUUUUGGGGUAUCAUUUUCUGAACCCCAAUAGCUGACAGAGGCUCAAGUGUGAUUUAUUUAAAUUUCAAGGUAACUCAGACUACUCAUCUUCACAUUCAUGUCUUCAUUCUUCACACAAAUAAUCAUCUAAGGUUAUUCUGUAACAUCCAAAUCCAAGUUGUCUCUCCUUUGUUAGAGUUCUUUUAUUCUCUAAUUUUUUUCUGGAUUUCAAGAUAACAACCAUUUGUUAUCUUUGGUUGAUAACAGAAGUUUGUUAUGUAAACAAAUGCUAUCAACCAUUUGUUCACCUAGCAAACUUUUGUUAAGACCUGCAAAGGAACAAGCACCAUAAAAGCACCAGGGUUAAGAUACUUGCACAUAUUAUUUCAAUAUACUCUUCAUCAUUUUAGUACAUUUAUAUAACAUACUGCAAUUGCUAACGCAUAUGCACAUGCUUUACUUCUAAAUCACAUUUUAGAUAAUUUCUUUCUGUGCAAGUUCUUGUAGACCUAAUCCAAAGUAUACUUACUCACUCUUUGGCUUCAAAUAAUAUAACUUGUCUGCUUUUUAACCAUUUUUCUUUCCGAAUAUCCCACUGAAAGCUGAUCUAACAUUGGGCCUAUGGACCUUGGCCCUGCCUGAAUUCUCUUGAGGGCCAAGGGCCCUCCAGCAUCACAGACUGUCUGAGACAAAAUAAUUCAUUUGUGCUAGCCCAGGGGGAAAUAUGAAUCACUUGGGUGAAGGUCAGAAUCAUCACACACACAAAAAAAGACCCAGAUGACUCAGCAUUUUGUAUUAUAGAAUGCACAAAAAUGAAAAUCCACUUGAUCUGUGUCUUGUUUUUUUUUCCAGGGCAUAAUACAACAAUUAGAAACCAGAAAAUCUACUUAGACUGUAGGCCCUAGAGUGAUUCCUUAUAGUUUUAAUUAUUCAUAAUCUAUAAAAUUAUACCUGAUAUUUGUAGCUAAGUGUAUUAGUUGGUUCUCACAUUGCUAUGAAGAAAUACCCGAGACUGGGUAAUUUAUAAAGAAAAGAGGUUUAAUUGACUCACAGCUCCGCAUGGCUGGGGAGGCCUCAGGAAACUUACAAUCAUGGCAGAAGGGGAAGCACAAACAUCUUUCUUCAGAUGAUGGCAGAAAGGAGAAGAGCCAAGCAAAAGGGGGGAAAGUCCCUUAUAAAACCAUCAGAUCUUGUGAGAACUCACUCAUUAUCAUGAGAACAGCAGUAUGGGGGUAACCAUCUUCAUGAUUCAGUUACUUCCCAUGGGGUCUCUUCACAACAUGUGGGGAUUAUGGAAACUGCAAUUCAAGAUGGCAUUAGCAAACCAGAUUGCUAAGUAAUCACCGUUUUUCACCAGGUGACAAUUUCUACCAAAAACCUAUAAUAAAACAUUAAGCUAAAAAGAAAAGUGAACUCAUCAUUUCACAAGCUAUGCCUUAAAAGUCUUACAAAAUGUUUACUUGCUUGUGUAUUAGAGUCAGAGACUAUUUAUGGCAGAGAUUUUGUAUAUUAGCAAAAGAAAAAUAAAAUUAUUAACAUGCUUUUUAGAGUAAGAAAUGUAUGACUUGCAGUUUAAUGCAAUGUUAAUAAAUAUGACACUGCUCAUCUCAUAAAAGUAAUGCUCUGGUUUUUACUUUUCCAUAAAGCUGAGUCAUAUAUUUUAAAUAGGAUGUCAAAAUAACAAUUUCCUUCAAAGAAUUUCCUUGUUUCUUUAAAUGGAGAGGAAAAAUGGUGUUAAAAUGUAAGAGCCCCAUGACAUUCAAUGCUUUGAAGAAUAUGGUAAGACAGGCUAUCUUAUAUACUUUUAUAUACUUUCAAUAGGAGUGUAAAUUGGUGCAAAAUUCCUAAAAAUCAAUUUGGCGUUAUGUAUCAGAAGUCUUAAAUAUAUUUAUAUUCUUUGGUCAUUUAUCAGUUUCUAAUAAUCUGAACUAAAAAAUAAGAACAUGGCUUAACACAAACAUACAAAGAUAUUCAACACAGCCUUAUAUAUAAUAGUGAAAACUUGAGAACGUACUAAGUGUUCCCCCAAAAAAGUUAAAUAAAUUAUAUUAUACAAUGUAUAACAUAAUAUAACAACGUAUGUAAUAAACAAUGUAAUGUUUCUUAUUCAAAAGAAAAAUUGCAUUAAAAAUUAUGUCACUAUAUGUAAAAAUGCUUAUAAUGUAAUGUUAAAUUAAAAUCAAAAUACAAGCCGGGUGCAGUGGCUGACACCUGUAAUCUCAGCACUUUGGGAGGCCAAGGCGGCUGGACCACUUGAGGUCAGGAAUUCGAGAAUAGCCUGGCCAACAUAGUGAAACCCUCUCUCUAUUAAACAUACAAAAAUUAGCCAGGUGUGGUGGCAUGUGCCUUAGUCCCAGCUACUCAAGAGGCUGAGGUGGGCCGGGUGCGGUGGCUCAUCCCUGUAAUACUAGCACUUUGGGAGACCAAGAUGGUCCGGUCACCUGAGGUCGGGAGUUCCAGACCAGCCUGACCAACAUGGAGAAGCCCCAUUUCUACUAAAAAUACAAAAUUAGCUGGACGUGGUGGCACAUGCCUGUAAUCCCAGCUACUUGGGAGGCUGAGGCAGGAGAAUCACUUGAACCCUGGAGGUGGAGGUUGCGGUGAGCCAAGAUUGCGCCAUUGCACUACAGCCUACAGUUGGAGAGCGAAACUCCAACUCAAAAAAAGGAGGCUGAGGUGGGAGAAUCGCUUGAACCUGGGAGGCAGAGGUUGCAGUGAGCCAAGAUCAUACCACUGCACUCCAGCCUGGGUGACAGAGUGACACUCCGUCUCAGAAAAUAAAUAUAUAAUAAAAAAUAAAAAUAAAAUAAAGAUUCAAAAUAUUACAUGCAAUAUAAUCCCAAUUUCAACAAAUUGCUGUGUUUAAGUGUCCAUUAAAAAGUUGCUUUCUUAUUAAUUUAGAAGAGAUAUUUUUAUUUUCUAGAUAAAGUCUUUGUCUGAUAAAAGUUUUGUCAAGAUUUUCUCCUAGUUGUGGUUUGCUGUUUCAUUUUCAUAGUAAUGUCUUUUAAAAAGCAAAUAUUUUUAAUUUUGAUGAAGUGAAAUUUGGUUUUCUCUUUUAUUUCAUGAUUUUUUGUGAACUCUUUAACAAACUAAACAUCUAUAGAAUUUUCUUCUAAGACCAGGCAAUGGUGCCUCAUGCCUGUAAUCUCAGCAUUUUGGAAAGCCAAGGCAGGCAGAUGGCUUGAGCCCAGGAGUUUGAGAUCAGCCUGGGCAACAUGGAGAAAUCUCGUCUCUACAAAAAAUACAAAAAUUAGCUCAGAGUAGUGGCACUUGCCUGUAGUCCCAACUACUCAGGAGGCUGAUGUGGGAGAAUCACUUCAGUCCAGGAGGUGGCAGUUGCAGUGAGCCCAGAUCUCACCACUGCACUCCAGUCUGCACAACAGAGUGAGACCUUGUAUAAAAAAAAAUAAAUAAACCUUUUUGCUUCUAUGUAUUUCUUCUAGAUCUAAUAGUUUUGACUUCUACAGUGAGGUCUGUAAUGCAUUUCUUUCCUUUUUUUUUUUUUUAGACAGAGUCUCACUCUGUCACCCAGACUGGAGUGCAAUGGUGCGAUCUCGGCUCACUGCAACCUCUACCUCCCAGGUUCAAGUGGCUCUCCUGUCUCAUCCUCCUGAGUAGCUGGGAUUACAGCACAUGCCACCACGCCUGGCUAAUUUUUGUAAUUUUAGGAGAGAUGGGGUUUCAGCAUGUUGGCCAAGCUGGUCUAGAAUUUCUGACCUCGUGAUCCACCCACCUCUGCCUCCCAAAGUGUUGGGAUUACAGCCGUGAGCCACCGUGCCCGGCCAGUAAUGAGUUUCACGUUAAUAUUUUGCAUAUCAUGUGAAUCAAGUGUUGAGAAUCAUGGGGGAUGGAUAAUGACUAAUUUUUCUGGCACCAUUUAUUGAAAAGAUUUUUCCCCCUUUGAAUUGACCUGGUACAUUUGCGGAAAACCAGUUGAGUCUCUUUCUGGACUCUGUCUUCCAUUCUGUUACUCGAAAUGUCUCAUUUAUGCCAAUUCCCCAUACCUUUGAUACCGUAGAUUUAUAAUAAUUUUGAAUAUAAUAAUUUUGAAACCAGGUAGUAUAUGUCUAUCAACUGUUCUUUCAAAUGUGUUUUGACUAUUCCAGGUACUUUCCAUUUUUAUAUGAAUUUUGGAAUCAGCUUUUUAAUUACUACAGAAAAAAGAAUGCUACAAUUUCUAUUGGAAUUUUAUUGAAUGUAAAGGUCAAUUUGGGAAGAACUGAUGUUUUAACACUAUUGAGUCUGCUAAUUCAUCAACAUGCUGCAUGUCUCCGUUACUAUGUCUUCUUUAAUUUUUCUCAGCAAUGUUGUCUUUUUCAAAGUUUAUCCUUAAAUAUUUUCGAUUUUUAUUUUAUUGUAAAUGGUAUUGCUUUUAAAAUUAUCAAGUUUGGUUUGUUCAUCACCAGUUUGUAGGAAUAUAAUUUAUUUUUGUAUAUUGACCUUGUAUUCCACAACAUUGCUAAACUCAAUUAUUAGUCGUAGUAGCUUUUUCAGCAAUUCCAUAGGAUAUUCUAUAGGUGAUCAUAUUGUCU